rnacentral:tRNA from 1 species
GGCGGUGUAGGCCAAUUGGAAGAGUCGACCGGCUCAGACCCGGGAUGUUGGGGGUUCGAAUCCCUCCACCGCUACCA